CUAUUCGAGAAAUCCUGAAUUUACGAGGGAGUUUAGUGAUCUCAUGAAGAUUUUUGUUCCUACAAAAUUUCAUAAAUUUUUUAAGAAAUUACGUAAACUGUUAUAUAUUUUAAACAAAGCAAAGCACUUUUACUUUGUACUGUUUUUUUCUUUCCCUAGUGUCAUACUGUCAGUUUUGAUGGUCCACGAGAAGAGAAGAUCGAUUGUAUUUAAAAUGUUGCUAUCUUCUUUGUGAAAACGGAAAAACACUUCGCAAAUUUCGCAACACUAUUAAGAAUGCGGUAACUGCGGAAAGUAUAUAUUUCGCAGUUCAAUUAAUUUCGACAUCGAUUCGAUAUAUGUAAAACGAUAAUACUGUUGGUAAGAAAUUUCCUUUUCUCCGUCGUUCCGCAGCAAAAAACGCAAAAGGGAUCAAAUUACAAAUACUAUGUCUGCUUUAUACUUUAUUGUCAAGCGUUAUUCGACAACCACGCGUUAUAUUGCCCACUCCUACUAAUCUGAUAUGAACAGUAACUACACGAAAAUCUGUCCUAUUUGCGAUAGUGUGUUAUCAAUCAGAUCUUUAUCAUAUUCAUGUGCACGGUACAUUUGCACAACGGGGUCAAUGUCCUCAAGAUACGUAUGUAAGUAUGUCUUUUGACAAUGUCAAGAUCAAGAACAAUUUUCUACGGUCAUAAAAAAAAUGUAAGCUUACAUUCGCAUAUGUUUUCAGGAUAGCGAUGCAAAUGAGUUUUCGAAUGACAAGAAAGAAAAUUAUGGGAUGGAUCAAAAUGUGGAGCGAUCAGGCCGACGAUUUAUCGAAGAGUAACUGUUAUUGACUGAUUAUGUCAAUAGAUUACCCAUACACAUUUCAAAUAUUGAAAUAAAGACUGGAAUGAUUUGAUUAUAUGAACUACAGCGAUGCUUAUAUAUUCAAAUGGAAAGUGUUAUUUCAGGGAUCAAGAAACCAUCUGCGUGAAGCAUGGAACUCUUCAAACGAAAAUGCAAUCGUAAACAGUGCCGAAGACCGUCCACUCUCGGUUUAUACAUCUUAAAACACCACAUAAUCACGUAGCACCUCAGCUACGUGUUAAAUCUGGUUUGCUACUGUAGGUGGCUACGUGAUCGUACAGUGUCAGAAAUUUAGAGACCUACAGUUCCCAGAAUUUUUUUAGGGCCGUUGCACUUCGCACGUAUCGCGCAUUCCUUUCAAUAGCAAUAGCGAAUUACACAAUUUUUCUUCUUUCUAUACAUUCCUGCCUUUUCAUGUAACAGCAGUUUAUUAUACGAAUAGAUAUUGACA